rnacentral:rRNA from 1 species
GUCCUACGGGAGGCAGCAGUGGGGGAUAUUGCACAAUGGGGGAAACCCUGAUGCAGCGACGCCGCGUGAGCGAUGAAGUAUUUCGGUAUGUAAAGCUCUGUCAGCAGGGAAGAAAGAAAUGACGGUACCUGACCAAGAAGCCCCGGCUAACUACGUGCCAGCAGCCGCGGUAAUACGUAGGGGGCAAGCGUUAUCCGGAAUUACUGGGUGUAAAGGGAGCGUAGACGGUGAUGCAAGUCUGGAGUGAAAGGCGGGGGCCCAACCCCCGGCCUGCUCUGG